GAAAGUUGUUUCCGAUUUAGCAUUGGAUUCGUCUGCUCCCGAUGAAGCUCAGAGCAAAAAUGCUCAUAAAAUGGAACUUAAAAAUAAGCCGAGGGAAGAGGAGCGUCGCCAUAAGGAGGAGGAAAAGGCAGCCAAACAAGCAGCAGCCAA